AACGGCCAUACCAUGCUGAAUAUACCGGUUCUCGUUUGAUCACCGAAGUUAAGCAUCAUUGGGCGCGGUCAGUACUUGGGUGGGUGACCACCUGGGAACACCGCGUGCCGUU
rnacentral:rRNA from 1 species